CAACGCUGGCGGCGUGCCUAAUACAUGCAAGUCGAGCGAAUUAGAAGAAAAGCUUGCUUUUCUUCUAAUUAGCGGCGGACGGGUGAGUAACACGUGGGCAACCUGCCUGUAAGACUGGGAUAACUUCGGGAAACCGGAGCUAAUACCGGAUAACAUCAGACACCACAUGGUGUCUGACUAAAAGAUGGCUUCGGCUAUCACUUACAGAUGGGCCCGCGUCGCAUUAGCUAGUUGGUGAGGUAACGGCUCACCAAGGCGACGAUGCGUAGCCGACCUGAGAGGGUGAUCGGCCACACUGGGACUGAGACACCGGCCCAGACUCCGUACGGGAGGCAGCAGUAGGGAAUCUUCCACAAUGGACGAAAGUCUGAUGGAGCAACGCCGCGUGAGCGAUGAAGGCCUUCGGGUCGUAAAGCUCUGUUGUUAGGGAAGAACAAGUACCGUUCGAAUAGGGCGGUACCAUGACGGUACCUAACCAGAAAGCCACGGCUAACUACGUG
rnacentral:rRNA from 1 species